GUCGGUAUCGAUUAGGGGUUAAAUCACCUCGUUGUGGUUGGGUGGCUCAGACAUCAAGCAACUACCGAGGAGCCAUAGGUUCGAUUCCUGUUACCGACA